GACUGAUUUGGAAAAUAAUUCUGAAACUGGAGAGUUACAGCCUGUACUACCUGAAGGAGCUUCAGCUGCCCCUGAAGAAGAUACACAUUCCAGUUUUCCUGAUGGUGAACAAAUAGGCCCUGAAGAUCUCAGCUUCAAUACAGAUGAAAAUAGUGGAAGAUAAUUUGAUUUGAAACUGACACUGCACCUGAUGGGUUAACAAGAUCUAGGCUUCAGAAGGUGACAGAUAUGAGUGAGGACCAUGUGUGGGGCAAAGCCUCAGAAUGAUGAAAAGGUUCCGGCACUAUAGUUGGGGCCAUGUUGACUCCUUUUCAACCAUUUGUCACAGACGUGAGAAGAAGAAAUGACUUCAAAAUCAAGAGAAAACAAAUACUGAAAGUCUCUACUUACAUCCAAAUUUUAAAAAAUAAAAUCUGUAGAUUAACAAUCU
rnacentral:lncRNA from 1 species